rnacentral:rRNA from 1 species
GAUGAACGCUGGCGGCGUGCUUAACACAUGCAAGUCGAACGAAGCACUUUAACCUGAUUCUUCGGAUGAAGGUUUUUGUGACUGAGUGGCGGACGGGUGAGUAACGCGUGGGUAACCUGCCUCAUACAGGGGGAUAACAGUUAGAAAUGACUGCUAAUACCGCAUAAGACCACAGAGCCGCAUGGCCCGGUGGGAAAAACUCCGGUGGUAUGAGAUGGACCCGCGUCUGAUUAGGUAGUUGGUGGGGUAACGGCCUACCAAGCCAACGAUCAGUAGCCGACCUGAGAGGGUGACCGGCCACAUUGGGACUGAGACACGGCCCAAACUCCUACGGGAGGCAGCAGUGGGGAAUAUUGCACAAUGGGGGAAACCCUGAUGCAGCGACGCCGCGUGAGCGAAGAAGUAUUUCGGUAUGUAAAGCUCUAUCAGCAGGGAAGAAAAUGACGGUACCUGACUAAGAAGCACCGGCUAAAUACGUG